CUGAACUACACUGGUCAGGGCUCCCCACUGGAAGAUUAUUAAAAAUUAAAUAAAAUUAAGAGCAUCAGGCAGGACAAGACAGACAAAAACGAGAAGUAGCUGUACCUGCACCUUCUCCUGCAGCGCGUUGUAAACCUGGUAGAUGGCCCUGAUGUCCUUCAUGACUCCGUCCUUGUCAAAGAAGUCAGUGCUAGAGAACAGCAGGAGAGAGGUCACAGGAAGGCAGCUGCCAUGACCCUGAAAGGCACUUCCUGCCCUCAACCGUCAUCUGGUCUUUAAUGGGAGCUCCCAGGUGACAGUGCUCAGCCACAGUGUCACCCCACUAAGCUUACAGGAGAGAAAUAAAAAGGACCCACGUGACUAAGGCCAUUUAAAAAAUAAGAGUGACCACAGCUUAGGAUCUCAGAAAUACACAUACUCUAGCCAAACUUUUAUAUCAACUACAAAAACAGUUGUGGCAAUUGAUUU